UGCGAUCUGCAGUGCCCGUACUGUGCUCGGCAACUAUGUUUGCUGCGCCGAUGCUCUCGAGCCGGGGACGCCAAAUCGAUGUACGCCGGGGCAAGCCCUCCUUAAAUGCAGAGGGAAGUUUACGGGCACAUCUGCGGCAACCCACGUUUUAUAUCGGGUGCACAAACAGCCUCGCCUACGACACAGGUGGAUCGCCU
rnacentral:sRNA from 1 species